AUAAUUUGUGGUAGUAGGGGACUGCGUUCACGCUCUCCCCU
rnacentral:snRNA from 1 species